rnacentral:tRNA from 4 species
GCCCCGGUGGUGGAAUUGGUAGACACGCAGGACUUAAAAUCCUGUGGCCCCAAAGGCUGUACCGGUUCGAUUCCGGUUCGGGGUA